rnacentral:rRNA from 1 species
CUUCCCCUUCGGGGGACAAAGUGACAGGUGGUGCAUGGUUGUCGUCAGCUCGUGUCGUGAGAUGUUGGGUUAAGUCCCGCAACGAGCGCAACCCUUAAGCUUAGUUGCCAGCAUUAAGUUGGGCACUCUAAGUUGACUGCCGGUGACAAACCGGAGGAAGGUGGGGAUGACGUCAAAUCAUCAUGCCCCUUAUGAUUUGGGCUACACACGUGCUACAAUGGACGGUACAAAGGGCAGCGAACCCGUGAGGUCAAGCAAAUCCCAUAAAGCCGUUCUCAGUUCGGAUUGUAGUCUGCAACUCGACUACAUGAAGCUGGAAUCGCUAGUAAUCGUAGAUCAGCAUGCUACGGUGAAUACGUUCCCGGGUCUUGUACACACCGCCCGUCACACCACGAGAGUUUGUAACACCCGAAGCCGGUGGAGUAACCUUUUAGGAACUAGCCGUCGAAGGUGGGACAAAUGAUUGGGGUGAAGUCGUAACAAGGUAGCCGUAUCGGAAGGUGCGGCUGGAUCACCUCCUUUCUA